rnacentral:rRNA from 1 species
AGGAAUAUUGGUCAAUGGACGAGAGUCUGAACCAGCCAAGUAGCGUGAAGGAUGACUGCCCUAUGGGUUGUAAACUUCUUUUAUACGGGAAUAAAGUGAGGCACGUGUGCCUUUUUGUAUGUACCGUAUGAAUAAGGAUCGGCUAACUCCGUGCCAGCAGCCGCGGUAAUACGGAGGAUCCGAGCGUUAUCCGGAUUUAUUGGGUUUAAAGGGAGCGUAGGCGGACGCUUAAGUCAGUUGUGAAAGUUUGCGGCUCAACCGUAAAAUUGCAGUUGAUACUGGGUGUCUUGAGUACAGUAGAGGCAGGCGGAAUUCGUGGUGUAGCGGUGAAAUGCUUAGAUAUCACGAAGAACUCCGAUUGCGAAGGCAGCCUGCUAAGCUGCAACUGACAUUGAGGCUCGAAAGUGUGGGUAUCAAACAGGAUUAGAUACCCUGGUAGUCCACACGGUAAACGAUGAAUACUCGCUGUUUGCGAUAUACGGCAAGCGGCCAAGCGAAAGCGUUAAGUAUUCCACCUGGGGAGUACGCCGGCAACGGUGAAACUCAAAGGAAUUGACGGGGGCCCGCACAAGCGGAGGAACAUGUGGUUUAAUUCGAUGAUACGCGAGGAACCUUACCCGGGCUUGAAUUGCAACUGAAUGAUGUGGAGACAUGUCAGCCGCAAGGCAGUUGUGAAGGUGCUGCAUGGUUGUCGUCAGCUCGUGCCGUGAGGUGUCGGCUUAAGUGCCAUAACGAGCGCAACCCUUAUCGAUAGUUACCAUCAGGUUAUGCUGGGGACUCUGUCGAGACUGCCGUCGUAAGAUGUGAGGAAGGUGGGGAUGACGUCAAAUCAGCACGGCCCUUACGUCCGGGGCUACACACGUGUUACAAUGGGGGGUACAGAAGGCAGCUACACGGCGACGUGAUGCUAAUCCCUAAAGCCUCUCUCAGUUCGGAUUGGAGUCUGCAACCCGACUCCAUGAAGCUGGAUUCGCUAGUAAUCGCGCAUCAGCCACGGCGCGGUGAAUACGUUCCCG